GGGCCCGCACAAGCGGUGGAGCAUGUGGUUUAAUUCGAUGAUACGCGAGGAACCUUACCAGGGCUUAAAUGUAGUGGGACAGGUCUAGAGAUAGACCCUUCUUCGGACUCAUUACAAGGUGCUGCAUGGUUGUCGUCAGCUCGUGCCGUGAGGUGUCAGGUUAAGUCCUAUAACGAGCGCAACCCCUAUCGUUAGUUGCCAGCGGGUAAUGCCGGGAACUCUAGCGAAACUGCCGGUGCAAACCGUGAGGAAGGUGGGGAUGACGUCAAAUCAUCACGGCCCUUACGUCCUGGGCUACACACGUGCUACAAUGGUCGGUACAGAGAGCAGCCACUACGCGAGUAGGAGCGAAUCUUCAAAACCGAUCUCAGUUCGGAUCGGGGUCUGCAACUCGACCCCGUGAAGCUGGAAUCGCUAGUAAUCG
rnacentral:rRNA from 1 species